UACGUAGGUGGCAAGCGUUAUCCGGAAUUAUUGGGCGUAAAGAGCGCGCAGGUGGUUGAUUAAGUCUGAUGUGAAAGCCCACGGCUUAACCGUGGAGGGUCAUUGGAAACUGGUCGACUUGAGUGCAGGAGAGGGAAGUGGAAUUCCAUGUGUAGCGGUGAAAUGCGUAGAGAUAUGGAGGAACACCAGUGGCGAAGGCGGCUUCCUGGUCUGUAACUGACACUGAGGCGCGAAAGCGUGGGGAGCAAACAGGAUUAGAUACCCCGGUA
rnacentral:rRNA from 1 species